rnacentral:rRNA from 1 species
GACGAACGCUGGCGGCGUGCUUAACACAUGCAAGUCGAACGGAAAGGCCCUGCUUGCAGGGUACUCUAGUGGCGAACGGGUGAGUAACACGUGGGUGAUCUGCCCUGCACUUCGGGAUAAGCCUGGGAAACUGGGUCUAAUACCGGAUAGGAGCCAUUUUUAGUGUGAUGGUUGGAAAGUUUUUUCGGUGUAGGAUGAGCUCGCGGCCUAUCAGCUUGUUGGUGGGGUAAUGGCCUACCAAGGCGGCGACGGGUAGCCGGCCUGAGAGGGUGGACGGCCACAUUGGGACUGAGAUACGGCCCAGACUCCUACGGGAGGCAGCAGUGGGGAAUAUUGAACAAUGGGCGCAAGCCUGAUGCAGCGAAGCAGCGUGGGGGAUGACGGACUUCGGGUUGGAAACUCCUUUCGCUAGGGACGAAGCUUUUUGUGACGGUACCUAGAGAAGAAGCACCGGCUAACUACGUG